UUGGUCUACCAUACCACCAUGAAUGCUCCAGAUCUUGUCUGAUGUUGGAGGCUGAGCAUGGUUGGGCCUGGUUAAUACUUGGAUGGGAGGUAUAUAACACUGCAUACAUUUAAGGUGUAUCAAA
rnacentral:rRNA from 1 species